GUGAGUAUAACUCAGUGGUAGGGCACAUGCUUAGCAUGCAGGAGGUCCUGGGUUCAAUCCCCAGUACCUCCA
rnacentral:tRNA from 1 species